rnacentral:rRNA from 6 species
UUAAAUUGAAGAGUUUGAUCAUGGCUCAGAUUGAACGCUGGCGGCAGGCCUAACACAUGCAAGUCGAACGGUAACAGGAAGAAG